rnacentral:rRNA from 1 species
UACAGAGGGGGCAAGCGUUGUUCGGAAUUACUGGGCGUAAAGGGCGCGUAGGCGGCCAGAUAAGUCCGGUGUGAAAGUCACAGGCUCAACCUGUGAAUGCCGCUGGAAACUGUCUGGCUUGAGUCCGGGAGGGGCGAGUGGAAUUCCUGGUGUAGCGGUGAAAUGCGCAGAUAUCAGGAGGAACACCAAUUGCGAAGGCAGCUCGCUGGGACGUUACUGACGCUGAGACGCGAAAGCGUGGGGAGCAAACAGG